rnacentral:rRNA from 1 species
UAGAGUUUGAUCCUGGCUCAGAAUCAACGCUGGCGGCGUGCCUAACACAUGCAAGUCGCACGAGAAAGGGGCUUCGGCUCUGAGUAAAGUGGCGCACGGGUGAGUAACACGUGAAUUAUCUACCUCCGAGUGGGGAAUAACUGAGAGAAAUCUUAGCUAAUACCGCAUAACACUUACGAGUCAAAGCAGCAAUGCGCUUGGAGAGGAGUUCGCGGCCGAUUAGUUAGUUGGCGGGGUAAUGGCCCACCAAGACGAUGAUCGGUAUCCGGCCUGAGAGGGCGCACGGACACACUGGAACUGAAACACGGUCCAGACUCCUACGGGAGGCAGCAGUGGGGAAUUUUGCGCAAUGGGGGAAACCCUGACGCAGCAACGCCGCGUGGAGGAUGAAAUCCCUUGGGAUGUAAACUCCUUUCGAUAGGGAAGAUUAUGACGGUACCUAUAGAAGAAGCCCCGGCUAACUUCGUGCCAGCAGCCGCGGUAAUACGAGGGGGGCAAGCGUUGUUCGGAAUUAUUGGGCGUAAAGGGCGCGUAGGCGGUUUGACAAGUCUGAUGUGAAAUCUCUGGGCUCAACCCAGAGUCUGCAUUAGAAACUGUCGGGCUUGAGUAUGGGAGAGGUGAGUGGAAUUUCCGGUGUAGCGGUGAAAUGCGUAGAUAUCGGAAGGAACACCUGUGGCGAAAGCGGCUCACUGGACCAUAACUGACGCUGAGGCGCGAAAGCUAGGGGAGCAAACAGGAUUAGAUACCCUGGUAGUCCUAGCCCUAAACGAUGAUUGCUUGAUGU